AACACACCGGUCCCCCUAUGAUCACCGAAGUUAAGCAACGGUGGGUCUGAUCAGUACUUAGAUGGGUGACCGCUUGAAAAUACCAGGUGU